rnacentral:rRNA from 1 species
CAGUAGCCGCGGGAAUACGAAGGGUGCAAGCGUUAAUCGGAAUUACAGGGCGUAAAGCGCACGCAGGCGGUUUGUUAAGUCAGAUGUGAAAUCCCCGAGCUUAACUUGGGAACUGCAUUUGAAACUGGUAAGCUAGAGUCUUGUAGAGGGGGGUAGAAUUCCAGGUGUAGCGGUGAAAUGCGUAGGGAUCUGGAGGAAUACCGGUGGCGAAGGCGGCCCCCUGGACAAAGACUGACGCUCAGGUGCGGAAGCGUGGGAGCAAACAGGAUUAGAUACCCGGGUAGUCCCUGUCUCUUAUACA